UCGAGGGAUAGAUACCUGUAAAAGAAAAGUGUGGAAGACAAAUUUAUCAGGAGCUCAAUCGGGACGAAUUCGCUGUCAGUUCAACAGCUCUGCUAUACAAAUACAGCUUCCAUUUGGAUCAAAAGAGCCAUAAAGUUUGAAAAACAAUGAAAAUUUCACUAGUUGCCGCUGCAUUGUUACUGGUGGCACAUUUGGUGGAAGCCACCAGUGAGAGAUCAGGGAACGAAGUUUAUUCUGCCCAGAAACGAUCUUCACUCACGAAAGGUCUUGCUCGCCAAAGAGCAUGCGGCUCCAUUAACUGCAAGGUGUCGGGCUGUGAGUCCAGGGGUGGCUGGUGGUUUGUGUCGAAUUCCGCCGGCUGGAACAUCCGGGGCUCUGACCGCGGUUGCUGUGGCAACUACGGUGGCUGUUGCAAGCAUGCUUCAGACUUGUGCUACAUACACGACUACACGUGUCGCUGUUGUAUACCUAGAUUGUAUUGUGGACCCCAGUGCAAGAAAAAUUCGGGCUGUUGACACCUUGUCCUAAAUAUCAUUACUUGAAACAAACUUGCUUUAACCAGGCUACGCCCGGUUUGCCCUUUCUAAAGGACCCUAGACUUUGCUGACAUUGGAAAUAGUUCCUAUACAGAUUGUAGUAGAUUUUUCAUUUUAGUGUAAACUUUGUAAUAUCCACCUUUGGCACAAGCUCCUGAAAAUGAAAUGACUACAUAAAUGUUCAAGAUCGUCACUACGAUUGGCGUUUGUAAAAGAACACUAUAUUAGACCAUUAACCGUUUCAGCGGCCAAAAUGGUCAUCAUAUAUGCAUAACAGAAAUCAAAUAAAACGAUGUUUGCCAAUAGAUAAUGCUUCAUGCAUUGUGUCUUCUGAUAUCUGCAAGAACCCGUGUAUGAUAUCAUUGCUCCCUACACUUUGCAAGAUUUGAACUCGAACGCCAAAUUAUGAAGGAAACUCCUGCGCUAUACAAGCAAAUGUGUAAAGUCACAAAAUAUCCUUGGACGCAGUCAAAUUGAUCUCAACUCUGAGACGUACAAUGUAUUUUGACCGAUAAGUGAA